CUGGUUCAUCUCCAUGGAAAAACCUGCAGAGAAGAAGAUGGUCAGACGGAGCAAGAGGAGCAUCCUGGAGUGACGAAGAGUGAGUGGAUUUAUAACUUCAAACAACUGUCUGGGCAAAAUCCACACUGUCACCAUUUGUGUCGCCACCAGAUGGCAGCACUACACCUCUCCAUACAGUGAGAAUGGUAUAAACUCCCACUUCCAGGAGCAACUGAAGGCACCUUCCACUGCUGACCUGAGAGUUGUAGCUGAUGAUUCCUUAAGUGUACCACUGACCCUGAGUGUGGUGGGUGUCCUCAAUGGGCUACUGAUCCUGGCCUUCGUAAUUGCCAGGGUGAGGCAGAAGCAAAGUCUGUCUACCCUGCCUCGUUCCUCGACCAUCCUCCACGGACCAUUCUCCUCCGCACCAUUACUCCACUCCACCUUCCAGCCUCCAUCAGCCAGGUCGGUACACAGUCAUCAGAUCCCAUCUACCACCCACCAGCCAGACCGAGAGUGACCCUAGCGUCCGUAGCUCAGCCUAUCUCAUCAUAUCCAUCCGUCAUUUGUUAUCUGCUAGCUGAUCAACACCCGGUACUACUAUUCCUAGUUUGUUUCCUUAUCACGUCACUUGUAUAUAUUGUACAGCACAAAAUAAAUUCUGCUUGCACUGAAGUCAGCCAUCUGGGUCUGUUCAUUUCUUCACUCACCCUCCAAGUGAGUGACUAUAACAUGGUGUUUAGUUUUCACCUGUGUCCUUACUGGGUCAAAAUUAUAACUAUUAAAAAGAAGUGCUUCUUCAGUGGGCAUGAAUUUGUGAAUAUGACUGACAACUUUGGUUCUGAUAAUUUAAUUCAGGCUAAACAGUAUCUAUGUGGAUGGGCAGUAAAACAUAGUUCGUAUCACUUCAGUUUCAAUGACCACAUAGGGACUGACGUUGU